CGGACACACAGUUUUCCGUGGGAUGAACACAGAAAGGGUUAAUCAAAAAAGAGUUCGAUGAGCGAGUCUGACGGUCGAGUGGGGCGGGCUGGAGCAAUGAGGCCGCAAGUCCCGGUGGCCGGUGGUGAUGGAGUCACUUAGAAGAUGAGAGGUUGGUGGUUUUGGGGGUGGGGAAGGGGGGAAAAGAAGGGGGUGGGGGAGGGGGAGAGGCAGUCCCCCCCAAUUAUCUCUGGGAGACAAGAGUGUCCUGGACUGGCUGAGAAGGGGUUAAACAUCAGCAGCCUUCACCACCCCCACCCCCACAGAGACUUUCCCCAUCUCCCUCCGUGCCACCCAGCAACCCCCACGCCACUGGCCACUGAUGGAGGGCACUGAGACCGACCAUAUACACACCAGCAGCGGCGCCACCGCUGGGAGAGGAGGCCCCCUGGACCCCGGGAGUCCAGACAGCUGACUGCGGUGGAGAGGGGUCGCGACAGCGGGUCUGGAGGUCGCGACUCUGCGAGAGCCUGCUUUGAGGUCCUUCUCUCGAAUCCACCUGGCACCAUUCCUCGGGCCAGCAGAGGAGAGAUUGAGCUGGUCUUCCCCUCCCCAACUUCUACAGAUUCGCCCGAAGGAGGCAAGUGGGGUUCUCCCUGGCUGGUGGAAUUCAGGGGGAUCCAUAAAGGUUAGGGCUAAGCUGAAGGGGAGUUUUUUUUCUGUCUUUUUUUUUUUUUUCUUACAAAGAUUCUAAGAAAAACUCAGGGUGGGAGGGGUGAGGAAGGGGGACCCAAUUUAGCUAAAUGUCCACAGACUCUUUCAAUGCCUCUUAGGGGCCUGCUCAUAGAGAGAAGGUCCCAUUUCCUCCUCUCUAUCUGAGGUUCCCUCACCCCAGAGCGGCUCAGUUCCAAGGAAGUUUGGCACUUUUUUUUAAUCAAUGGGGAGAUGGGGGAGGGGAGAGAGUUGAGUGGGGGGAAGACAGACUAGACAAAGAUAGAGACGGGACAGGUGACAGUGGGAGGUGCUGGGAGAGAAAGUUGAAAGCCAUAGGGAGCCAGAGAAAGAAAGAGAGUGGGAAGGGCUGGGGGGAGGUUUUGGGAGCUGGAGGGCAAAUGGGAAGGAACUGGGAGACAAUUCAAUGCAGCAAACACUUAUUAAGCACCUACUGGGUGCUGAAGAGCAGGGUGCAAGGAGGCCACUCAGAGUCUC
rnacentral:lncRNA from 1 species